rnacentral:misc_RNA from 1 species
AGAAGGUGCUAUUUUUCUUCAAAUUUAUGGCUUCUUAUUUGUCAUGGUUAAGGCUUAUUGUUAUAUGAUUUUUCCCUGAGGUCUUUUCUUUUGAUCUUCUUUUCUUUACCUAGUUUACAAACAAACACACACACUCAUGCAAUCACACUCUAAUAGAAUCAAAUCUGCACUUCAGGGCUUGGGAUCCUUUUUCGGUAACUUUUGAUAGUGUGUUGUUUUGAGGGAGUGCCUAAA